CUCAUGGCAAACAAAAAUAUUGGAAAAGUGUGUUUUUCAUAUGGCCAUUGUCUAUGGCUUUAUGUCACCUGUCAAAGUAAAUCAAGAGAUCUGUCAGCCGCUGCAGAAAUUUUGUAAUCUCUUCAUGCCUAUUUGUUAUUUUUGUGAAAAAGUCGAAAAAGCUCAAGCAAGUCAUAUUGUUUUCAAUGAGAAUUGUAAAAUAAGGCAAAAUUCAAAGUCAAUCUAUGAUAUUAAAGCACGUCGUCGAGUUGACAGUGUAUCUCACAAAUUCGUGCAGAGGAAUGGUGAAAAUGUUAUGAUGACCAUGUAAAGAAAAUUGAAAAAGAUUUCAUCAAGCAAGUUUGAGUAAUUGAAAUGCUGAAAGAGCGAUUUAUAUUAUACAGGGUGGAAUUUUGUAAUGCCACCUGGAGGGAAAGUACCUACUCUUAAUAUUGUAGAUAUAAUUUUUUCUCAAAGAAAACAUUCCUUUAUUUUUGAAAAGAAAUAGAACUGCAUUCAAAGAUUUCCAAAAAUUUGCUUACCACACCCGGGAACCGAACCAACUUAAAUCUGUUAAAAAUUACAUCCUGUAUUUUUAUUACAUCGAUCGUUAGGGUUAAAUAUAAGGAUGAAAUCUCUCUAACAAACUUGAUAAAUCAAAUGAAAGGAAAACCAUGAAAUUUUAAAUUAUUUUGAUAAUGUUACAGAAAAUUGUAUGGUAUAGUAGUGAAUUUUCGAAAAAAAAAUCAAAAAUCUUUGCAGUUCUCUUUUUUUUUUUUUUAAAAAGGAAUGUUUCCUUUCAGUAAAAUUUUCUAUCUACAGUAUUAAGAGUACUUUCCCUCCAGGUGGCAUUACAAAAUUCCAUCCUGUAUAAAUACAUCUUUAACUUGAUCAUCUAUUGAAGAAUAAAAAAUGCAAGUGGAGUUCUUAGAAUCGUUUUCUAGUUCUGAAUGAAGUGAUAAGUUAUAAGUAUGAUACAUAAUAAAAUUAUUUACAGUAAUAAUA